AAGGUAAUCUAAAAUGGAGGCUGCAAAGUGAAAUUUACAUUUGCACAGCAAGUGUGCCCUUCAUAAUUGGGGAGUUUCAGCACAAAAAGAGCUUCAAGGGGAAAGAGAGGAACAGCAACCUUGCUUUGGAAUUUUUGCAGCCCAGUAUGAAGAAGAGAAAUCAAGAAAAUGGAAGCAGGAUUAUCAAAAAUUCAACAAAAUCACGAAAAGGUUUGACAGAAGGAAGAUACAGGUUGAUUAUAUGGACUGUUAUCAUAACAGCAUGUUUGUGGCAAGGAAUAAUCAAUUUAGGAUUCUGGACUUCAGAGCAACUUGCAACUGAACAUACAAUGGAUCCUGAGUGCUUUUUAAAUGUUGUAAGUUAGAUACUGAGUUGACCAACGGUCUUUAGCAGGUGCCAUAAAGGUCAAAAGGGCCAUUGCAGCCCACUUGUUCCAUGACAACUCAGAGUCCACUGUCUCUUGUUUCCUUUUUUUAUUGUCUCAUCAUGGGGCUUCAUGUUAAAGACAUUGAAAGGAGGUUUUCCAUGCCUUCUUCACAGUACUAACAAGUGUUCCUAUCGUUCCCCUUCUGUUGUGUCUGAAAGAUGCUUUGCCAUAUCAUCCCCCCACUACUGCUACUGCCCAGUAACUGUUUGGCAUAUUUAAUCUGGUUCCUCAGCAAAAACCUGUCUCACAUAGGCGACUCUAUCAGCAGCACUACUUUCAGCAGCAUAGCCUCUUGAAAUGAUGUAGACCUGAGUCAAACUGACUUGGACUUAAUUUUGACUCAAGUCAAUUCAAUGAAUUGAAUUGUACUUGACUUUACAAAUAUGACACAUUGUCUUGACUUGACUUGAAACUUGUAUAUUUUAGUGCAGGGG